ACCAGGUGUGCCCGCCAAGUUAUGAGAGUCGGGUCCACUGUGGCGUGCUGUUGGAUCUGUCGGAUGAGCGCUGGCGACGUCCUCGUCGGGCUGCUGCACCAUGAUUUGGAACCUGCACUUUUGCGCUAAAUGGGAUUCAUUCCAGUGGCCUUUUACUGCAAGCAUUUGAAAGUGUGCUGUUGUGUGGCUGAUUAAGACCUCACUGAUGGCACUGAGUGACAGUACCUCUCUACCAACAUGCAAGUCUUUGCUGUCAUCAAAGGAUACUGAUUACCUUGGAAUAUCACCAGGAGGGGACUGUGAAUCUAAUCAAUGUUGAUGUCUUUAUAUAUGACGGAUAUUGCACAAUAAAAAUGUUUCAGUAAAACUCA